AUGGCCUCGCACCAGCACCCAGGGCCUCCCACAGCCCCACACCAGCACCCAGGGCCUUACACCAGCACCCAGGGCCUCAUACGGCCCCGUACCAGCACCCAGGGCCUCGUAUGGCCACGCACCAGCACCCAGGGCCCCACACCAGCACCCAGGGCCUCACACCAGUACCCAGGGCCUCAUACAGCCCCGUACCAGCACCCAGGGCCUCAUACGGCCCCGUACCAGCACCCAUGGACUCGUAUGGCCAUGCACCAGCACCCAGGGCCCCACACCAGCACCCAGGGCCUGACACCAGCACCCAGGGCCUCCCAUGGCCCCACACCAGCACCCAGGGCCUCACACCAGUACCCAGGGCCUCAUACAGCCCCGUACCAGCACCCAGGGCCUCAUACGGCCCCGUACCAGCACCCAUGGACUCAUAUGGCCAUGCACCAGCACCCAGGGCCCCACACCAGCACCCAGGGCCUCACACCAGCACCCAGGGCUUCGCACGGCCCUGCAGCAGCACCCAAGGCCUCACACCAGCACCCAGGGCCUCGCACGGCCUUGCACAAGCACACGCAGCCUCGUGGGGUUUGCACAAGCACGCGUGGCUUCGCACAGCCUCAUACUGGUGGGGUAUGUCCCCAUAGUGGUGCCGAUGGUGGUUCCAUACUGGGGGAGUGUGCCCCUGUACUGGUGCAGGGAGGCUCCGUACUGCGAUUGAUUCCCCAGUACUGGUGUGGGGACCCCCAUGCUGGGAUGGGUGCCCCCGUAUUGAUGGAGGAGGGUUCAUACUGGGAUGGGUGUUUCCAUAUUGGUGCACGGGGGUUCAUACUGGGACCAGUGUCCUCAUACUGGAUGUGUGCCCCUAUGCUUGCUGCUGGGGAGGGCUCAUACUGGGAUGGGUGUCCCCCGUACUGGUGCAGGGGGACUCUAUACUGGGGUUUGUGCCCCCAUACUGGUGUAGAGGGGCUCUGUACUGGGAUGCAUGGCCCCACACUGGUGCAGGGAAGCUCCAUAGUGGAACAGGUGCCCCUGUACUGGUGCAGGAGGGCUCCAUACUGGGAC
rnacentral:lncRNA from 1 species